AUUCAACGCUGGCGGCAGGCCUAACACAUGCAAGUCGAGCCGAUGAAGGGAGCUUGCUCCUGGAUUCAGCGGCGGACGGGUGAGUAAUGCCUAGGAAUCUGCCUGGUAGUGGGGGAUAACGUCCGGAAACGGGCGCUAAUACCGCCUACGUCCUGAGGGAGCAAGUGGGGGAUCUUCGGACCUCACGCUAUCAGAUGAGCCUAGGUCGGAUUAGAUAGUUGGUGGGGUAAAGGCCUACCAAGGCGACGCUCCGUAACUGGUCUGAGAGGAUGAUCAGUCACACUAGAACGUGGACACGGUCCAGACUCCUACGGUACGCAGCAGUGGGGAAUAUUAGACAGUGGGCGGAAGCCUUAUCCAGCCAUGCCGCGUGUGUGGAGAAGGUCUUCGGAUUGUAAAGCACGUUAAGUUGGGAGGAAGCGCAGUAAGUUAAGACCAUGCUGUUUUGACGGUACCAACAGAAUAAGCACCGGCUAACUUCGUG
rnacentral:rRNA from 1 species